GCAUUAAUGGGGUAGUGGUAACCUGGGUCGUUGCCAUCUGUUGCCAGUGAUACAAACUGUCUCGACCCGCCGGGGGUUCGAUUCCCUCUUAAUGCA